CAUGAUAUAUAUUAUGAUAUAGACUUACCGAGCCUCCCCUUGGAUUUCUUGUAUUUCUCUCCAGCACUCUGAUGCAUAGCAUAAAAAAGAUCUACCUGUUCCCCAGAGAGUUUUCAGAGAGAGAGUCUGUUUCUAGCUACCAUAUCUGUGCCCUGCUACAGAAUACAGGUCAGGGAAAAGGAUGUGGCAAUGUUGCCUUCCUGAGGAGAAGAGAACCCCUGUCACAAGACAGAUUACUUUGCAGAAGAGUUGAGAAAAAUACUGGAGAUAACAUGGACUAAUGUUUGCAUACACAGAAUUUCUGCUCAUAUUUCUACCAGUAACAGA